CAGGAACAGCCUUUUACCACCAGAAGCCUCACCAUCUUCGAUUUCCAACAGCCUGUGCAUGCGGCGGUGGAACAUUCUAGCACAUCGACGAGAACCCAGUGGCGGAUGGGGGGGGGGAGUGGCAGCGGCCGGCAAGCUGAAGACAGCCAUGAAUGAAUGAAGCAAAGGGACGCUUUCUUCACCACCAGGUUCCCCCGUCCAGCAUGGAGAUUACAUCUCUAGCAACGGAGCUGAUCCUGGAGCCCUCAGCGGCGGAGGUCCUGAGGGGAAACCGCCACAGCACGCCACAUGGGAAAAGGCUUGUCCAACGCAUCAUUUAACUUUUACCUUUGCCUGUGCUGCACGGUGCAUAACAAGGAGGACUGAAAGACCAGCAAAGGCACGCCUUCCACCAGCAGCCGGAGCAUCAGUCCCGCCGUUCACCACCAGUGCAACGUGAGCAGAAGCACCAUCUGUCCGGUGACCAACCUGCUGAGCUCCGGCGUGGCAUUGUCGUCGUUUGGCAGCCCCAGCAUCCCGGAGGUCCACGGCACGUUCGGGAGCCUCCACGGGGACCCGGUGGGGGCCGGCAACCUCACCCAGCGGAGCCAGUCAGUGCCGCUGAUGGCUCCCACCCACCCUUCUUUCUGGGAGGCCUCUGGAGCUGCCGCCCACCUGAACUCUCUGCCACGAAGAAGGCCACAAAGACACCGGGAAGGGGCUGCAAUUCAUUUUUAAUAAAGACGCCUUGCUGUGGCAGCAGAAAGAGAAUUUCCUCUUUUUACAGGUCUGUAAAUAAAACACAACAUGCUGGUCGAAAAAUAGGGCGCUCUCCACCUUCAGCAUCGCAUCUGAAGCACAUUCCCCAUGUAAAGGGAAAGGGGCCUUUGAUGUUUUGGCACAGAAUCGCCCCUGGAGCCGCCAUUCCAGGCCUCUCUUCGCCUUUUAUGAAGCAGACCGGCGGCGAGCGGUCAGGGCGCGUCUUCCAGGAGCGAGAGCAAAGCUGUAUUCCCGAUCCUUUCUAAACACGCCUUGGCCCCAGUCCCUUCAGGGCUGGCUGGCCGCCCGCCUGUAGCUUCUCCCUGGCGGCAGCCCCCGAGGACGCCGCCGGGGGCCAGGGGGCCUUUGGCAAA
rnacentral:lncRNA from 1 species